CUACGGGAGGCUCCAGUAAGGAAUAUUGCGCAAUGGAGGCAACUCUGACGCAGCCAUGCCGCGUGCAGGAAGAAGGCCUUAUGGGUCGUAAACUGCUUUUAUUUAGGAAUAAACCCCCGAACGUGUUCGGGGCUGAAGGUACUAAACGAAUAAGCACCGGCUAACUCCGGGCCAGCAGCCGCGGUAAUACGGAGGGUGCAAGCGUUAUCCGGAUUGAUUGGGUUUAAAGGGUGCGCAGGCGGGCUAUUAAGUCAGUGGUGAAAUCCCGGGGCUCAACUCCGGAACUGCCAUUGAUACUGAUAGUCUUGAGUUUGGUUGAAGUGGGCGGAAUAUAGCAUGUAGCGGUGAAAUGCAUAGAUAUGCUACAGAACACCAAUCGCGAAGGCAGCUCACUAAGCCAAGACUGACGCUCAUGCACGAAAGCGUGGGGAUCAAACAGGAUUAGAUACCCGGGUAGUC
rnacentral:rRNA from 1 species